UAUAAGACUGGGAUAACUUCGGGAAACCGGGGCUAAUGCCGGAUAAUAUUUAGAACCGCAUGGUUCUAAAGUGAAAGAUGGUUUUGCUAUCACUUAUAGAUGGACCCGCGCCGUAUUAGCUAGUUGGUGGGGUAAUGGCUUACCAAGGCAACGAUACGUAGCCGACCUGAGAGGGUGAUCGGCCACACUGGAACUGAGACACGGUCCAGACUCCUACGGGAGGCAGCAGUAGGGAAUCUUCCGCAAUGGGCGAAAGCCUGACGGAGCAACGCCGCGUGAGUGAUGAAGGUCUUCGGAUCGUAAAACUCUGUUAUUAGGGAAGAACAAAUGUGUAAGUAACUGUGCACGUCUUGACGGUACCUAAUCAGAAAGCCACGGCUAACUACGUGCCAGCAGCCGCGGUAAUACGUAGGUGGCAAGCGUUAUCCGGAAUUAUUGGGCGUAAAGCGCGCGUAGGCGGUUUCUUAAGUCUGAUGUGAAAGCCCACGGCUCAACCGUGGAGGGUCAUUGGAAACUGGGAAACUUGAGUGCAGAAGAGGAAAGUGGAAUUCCAUGUGUAGCGGUGAAAUGCGCAGAGAUAUGGAGGAACACCAGUGGCGAAGGCGACUUUCUGGUCUGUAACUGACGCUGAUGUGCGAAAGCGUGGGGAUCAAACAGGAUUAGAUACCCUGGUAGUCCACGCCGUAAACGAUGAGUGCUAAGUGUUAGGGGGUUUCCGCCCCUUAGUGCUGCAGCUAACGCAUUAAGCACUCCGCCUGGGGAGUACGACCGCAAGGUUGAAACUCAAG
rnacentral:rRNA from 1 species